rnacentral:snRNA from 1 species
GCGCUCACUUCAGGAGCACAUACACUAAAAGACAGAGAUUGGCAUGGCCCCUGAGCAAGUAUGACACGCAAAUGUGUCACAUGUUCCAUACUUUC